AAGUGUUACAGCUCUUUUAGAAUUUGUCUAGCAGGUUUUCUGGCUUUACCUGGAGAACCCUU
rnacentral:snRNA from 1 species